AACGAACGCUGGCGGCAGGCUUAACACAUGCAAGUCGAACGCCCCGCAAGGGGAGUGGCAGACGGGUGAGUAACGCGUGGGAAUCUACCUUUUGCUACGGGAUAGCUCCGGGAAACUGGAAUUAAUACCGUAUGUGCCCUUCGGGGAAAGAUUUAUCGGCAAAGGAUGAGCCCGCGUUGGAUUAGCUAGUUGGUGGGGUAAAGGCCUACCAAGGCGACGAUCCAUAGCUGGUCUGAGAGGAUGAUCAGCCACAUUGGGACUGAGACACGGCCCAAACUCCUACGGGAGGCAGCAGUGGGGAAUAUUGGACAAUGGGCGCAAGCCUGAUCCAGCCAUGCCGCGUGAGUGAUGAAGGUCUUAGGAUUGUAAAGCUCUUUCACCGGGGACGAUAAUGACGGUACCCGGAGAAGAAGCCCCGGCUAACUUCGUGCCAGCAGCCGCGGUAA
rnacentral:rRNA from 1 species